rnacentral:rRNA from 1 species
AACGAACGCUGGCGGCAGGCUUAACACAUGCAAGUCGAGCGCCCCGCAAGGGGAGCGGCAGACGGGUGAGUAACGCGUGGGAAUCUACCCAUCUCUACGGAAUAACGCAUGGAAACGUGUGCUAAUACCGUAUACGUCCUUCGGGAGAAAGAUUUAUCGGAGAUGGAUGAGCCCGCGUUGGAUUAGCUAGUUGGUGGGGUAAAGGCCUACCAAGGCGACGAUCCAUAGCUGGUCUGAGAGGAUGAUCAGCCACACUGGGACUGAGACACGGCCCAGACUCCUACGGGAGGCAGCAGUAGGGAAUAUUGGACAAUGGGCGCAAGCCUGAUCCAGCCAUGCCGCGUGAGUGAUGAAGGCCCUAGGGUUGUAAAGCUCUUUCACCGGUGAAGAUAAUGACGGUAACCGGAGAAGAAGCCCCGGCUAACUUCGUGCCAGACGCCGCGGUAAAAC